GGUUCAUGAACUUGCCCAUAACCACAGCUGCCAAGUGUCAGUGCUGGAAGGAACCCCAGUGAUCACUGGUCUAAAUAUCGUCUUUUACAGAUGAAGAAAAGGAUGCCCUGGGAAGAGACACGUUUUGCCCAGGGUCAUUCAGAGCUGGAAGGCCUAGGACGGUGCCUGGACUCCUAGGAAUGUGCCCAGAAGGCGGAAAUCCUUGGUGAGCAGCUGAGAGGAGCUCCACAGCUUGCCCUGCAGCUCUGCCUGGGACCGGUCCUGUGAAGAACUGUCCUUGACUGCACUGAGUCCAAAGCCACAGACCCUAGAGCCACCGCUCACAGACCGGCACUUGUCGAAGCUCUUCGGGAGUGUAGAGGGGAGUGGAUCAGACAAAGCUCCUGCCCGUAAUGGAGUGCCAGGCUUGGAAGGACCGAGAGAAAAACACCCAAGGGAGGACCCACCCGAGGUGCAACAGCCACAGGGGGGCCAGACCGGAAGCAGCCUGAGCGUCGGGAGUGAGGAGAGAAGUAGGGACUCUGCCUGCUGAAAGUAGACAACAAUAAAGCCGCACUGCUGCCCUUCAUUGUGUUUGAGAUGCAUUUUCAAAUGUAUCUUUGAAGACCGAAGUCACAGAGAUUUUUCAGUCUAAUUAACUUCUCACUAUGGAAGAAGAGAACGUAGGUCUCUCUAACCAGCACUGCCGCUCAUACCAGUCAUCUCUGUCCCAGCCGUUCUUCCAAGGCAGCUCUCACUCCCUGUUUGUUGGAUAUUUAGUAUUUACAGUGUUAUGACCGCACCCUAUUAAGGCCUGAGCCAUGCCCUCGACUAUUAUUAUUUGUCAUUUCUUACACUACUUCGAGCUUUUAUUUUUUUUUAUUUAUUUUUUUUUAAGAUUUUAUUUAUUUAUUUGACAGACAGAGAUCAC